UGAGAUAUUUAGCGUACAUCAGUCUUCUUUUCUUUAACGCGAGUGGUUAAAAUUAAGUAAUUUUCUCACAUCCUGCUAUUAGGAGCCCCAGUCUGUCCUCGCUGACAGAAACAAAGCUGACUCAGAUAUAAGUGUUGCCAUUACAUCAGUGUAAGUUGUGAGGUCCAUCACUAACUGAGAAGCAAGGAUACCUGGUUCCAGCAUAUUUUCUGUCAGUGUCUGACGAUUGAAGGGAUCAGUGGAAGAAUUCAACAGAUGCCUCAGGAUGAUUGACCUGUCCAUAAUAGUUCCAGAUGGCAACCUCACAGGAUCAGUCAUCAGAGUGUCCAUGAGUGGAUCUGAGGACACAAUCGUCACAUUGAAAACAGAUGAAAGCUUCACCUGAACAGAGACUUACUGCACAGAACUGAUACUCAGUCUCCAAUCAGCCACAUUGCUGAAGUUACAGAAAACAGGUAAAAGCAGCAGGAAGUUAAAACGAGCAGUGGAUUUAGUCCCAGGACAGAAAGGGAAAAACAGUACAAAGGUUAAGCAUUAGCCAUUUUCACUAUAUCUCAGAUUGUUUUUUUCCUUACUGUUUUAAAUUACAUGCAGUGAAGACAAGGCUUGGACUGGACAAUACAAUUCCAAGGAAAAAAAAACAAAAAAACACCCUUUGUAUCUCUUAAUUCACUAAUUUAAUUGAAUUGGAGAAGGAUGUAAGUCUCCAUAAACACAGUCUCCACUAAUACAUAAUCAUACUUAAAAACAAGAUAACAGAACAAAUCUGUCUUGACCUAACAAUUCAGUACUUAGAAAAAUCAACUUGCCUCUGAAUUCAUCCGGAGCAUCGCUGUAAUCAAUUUCUGCACGGGCAUUCUUGGCAACAAUCUCUUCCACUUUCUCUGCCAGCAGUUUGAAUUUUUCUAUUGCUAUGGUUGACUUGAUUCCAGCCUUUCUCAUCUUUGAUAUGACCUCCUCAAAGAGCUCUUUGCUGUAGGACCUCUACAAGCAAAGCAUAAAACUUUGCUGAGCUGCAGUAUCCUAAUGUGCCGCAAACAUUCUACAGUCCUCUUAAUGCUUUUUAAAAACUUUAGAAGAGGGGAUCAAUAAAACCUCAAAUUAUGCAAGACAGAAAAUCAUAAUGUACAGAACACUUCAUCUAGCACAAAAAUAUCAACUUUGGGUUACACUUGUGCUUUUGUACUGGUCAUUACUACUGUACAACUGUUUGGCAGAAAAAAUACAGCAGAAGACAAUACCAACUAAUCAAAAUGGUUGAGGCAUUCAGAGAGGCUGACUGUAAUUAUUAGCACUGUUCCUUAGAUUAAAUAUCUGUCUUGUAACAUCUGUCCAUAUCCUUGACCUCACCAGUCCUGGCCAAAAAUAUCACAUAAAAGCUUUUUUUAAACCCUAGUUCUCCAACCAUUGCACAUGAAGACAGCGAAAGAACUGCUCUUUACAUCAGCACAAAUACCCUCAGCACCUCUUGGGGAUCUUCAGGAUCAUUAACAUCCCACUUCAUCCUGGCUGUUGAGAGAAUACCAUAGUCAAAAAAGACUGAUGCAACAGCUUUCAGGAUUUAACAUUCAAGGAGUAGAGGUUACAUAUUUCAUAUGCAUCUUUCCCCUGAAAGCUGCACUGUUUAUUAUCCUCAAAAACAAAUUCAGACCCUGGAGUUGUCUGCCACACAGAGCAGAAGCAGUGCAUUUAAGUCUUUUGUUGUGGUUGGUAUUCUCUUCCCCAUGGUAGGAAACACCUCAACUGACAUGUACUGGUAAAGGUGUGGCUCUGUAUCCCAAGAUUUACAUUAAUGUACUUGGAAAAAAAUGAAGCCUCAACUUAAAACUGCUUGAAAACAACAGCUAAAAACGUGAUUAUACAGCCCAUCCAUGGUAUAAUUGAAUAGUGAAGUACAUCUUACAACAAAUAUGCCAAGUUACAAGCUAACAGAUACUGUGCAUUUUGUUAGAUACGGAUGAUCUCUUAAGUUCUCUGAUAAUGCACAAUGCAAUAUUAAAAAAAUAAAAAAGCCUCCUAAGAUGAAAAACAAGCCUGCUGCCAAACUAGUAAGACGACUCCUUCAAGCACCAAAUACUUGCUUGCCAACUGGUGCAGCAUGCAGCACUCUGCAGGAACUGCCUGCUGCUCACAACUUCACAGCUACGUAGUGCAAAAUACAGAGAAACAACUGCACAUCCUGUGGUUUCGACUGAAACAAACAGUGCUUUCAUCCAACUAAAUAACUAAAAAAAUAAAAUAG
rnacentral:lncRNA from 1 species